AUCCAGAUGCAGAUCGUCCGCGGUGACCAGCAGCGGCACCGACAAGGACGGAUCGCUGUGAACCAGAACCAGCGCGCGGCCGUCAUUGGUUUCGCGGCAGGCGAUGNGGUUUCGCGGCAGGCGAUGCCGAGAAAUUCGCUGACGCGGACGUUGAUCGCCAUGCGGAUGCCGCCGACGGCACGGCGCACGGUGACGCGUUCGCGAUUGAUUUCGAUAUGCCUGACGCCGCCANGCCAUCGCGCGCUUCAAAGCUGACUGGCAAAGAAUGGGGGUCGAGCUGCAACAUGCAGCUCGACCCGACGGGUUGCACCCCGCCGACUCCGAAUUGACGCCUCACGGCUUUAUCUCCCACGCCGGAAUUAUGUUCCCGG
rnacentral:misc_RNA from 1 species